ACCCCCGUGAGAAUGCCCUUAACCCUCGUUCAGGAUAAAGGAGCUGGUAUCAGGCACACCCUCUGUAGCCCAAGACACCUUGUUUAGCCACGUCCCCAAGGAAAACCAGCAGUGAUAAACAUUAAGCCAUUAGUGAAAACUUGACUUAGUUAAAGUUAAAAGGGCCGGUCAAACUCGUGCCAGCCACCGCGGUUAUACAAGAGACUCAAGUUGAUGACAAACGGCGUAAAGAGUGGUUAAGAAAGCCCCAAACUAAAGCCAAAUUUUCUCCUCGCUGUUAUACGCACCCGAGACAUAAGAAGUACUAUUACGAAAGUAGCUUUACAUAAUCUGACCCCACGAAAGCUAUGGUACAAACUGAGAUUAGAUACCUCACUAUGCAUAGCCAUAAACAAUAAUAGACCCUAAUAUUCCUAUUCGCCCGGGAAUUACGAGCCUCAGCUUAAAACCCAAAGGACUUGGCGGUGCUUAAAACCCACCUAGAGGAGCCUGUUCUAUAACCGAUAAUCCCCGUUAAACCUCACCCCUUCUUGCUUUUCCC
rnacentral:rRNA from 1 species